AGCAGGGCUCAACCACAGGAUAAAUCACAGGCCAAUUUUCUGGGUGACAGCUGAGAUAAAUUAAACUUUUAUUUUUAAAUUAAAAACUAUCAAAUAAAUAAUGAUGGAGGAGAGUGUAAGAUGCUCAGAAUUGUCUUAGCUGAAAAUAGGAAUCUUCAAAGAAACCUGGGCUGUUUCCACACCUUUUCCUGGAGCGUACUUUGGGCCUGUGCACACGUGGGUGGCAGGAAGUAGGAGCUGCCCUACCCUGUGCUCUUGCCUGAAUGUUCUGUGCUGUCCUGACUCAACACAGUGGGCCCAAGGAAUCAUGGACUGAAACCUCAGAACCGUGAGCCUCCUUGACCCAUGGGGCCCUGAUUCUCUAUCUGCCGGGUUGCUGUGUGCUGUUGGUGGUCCUUCUGCUGUUUAGCAGUCCUUCUAGAAGGGACUUCUGAUGAGGUCGGUUCACCCAGCCUCUCAGUGGGCAGGUUCCCACUCUGAUAACUCCGGCUUCCCUCUCUGCCUCUCUGUUACUUCUGGCAAUUAUUUCUUCCAAGGCCACACUGUACAGGGAUGUAGAGAAAUGUGGCGGCCCCACGGGAUUGGUGGGACUCUUGCAGCCCACACUGUUGAACUUCAGGGUCUGGGAAGCUGAAGCCCCAUGGCUCGACACGAGAUGCUGCUCUGGGUGCUCGUGUUGAAUGAAGGCUUCUUCAGCCCAGAGGCUGUGUGGUCCAGCGAGGUCACACACCUGUCAGCCUACCCUGCCUCACCCAGACAAGACACUUCCGGACCCAGAACCAUGGGACAGAGAACUAUCUGAAUCCUCACAGCUGCUCUGAGGGGUAGGUGUGCCUGCCCCAUGGCCCAGCUGGAGAGACUGAGGUGGCCAAGUCACUUGUUAAUGAAUGAUGGAAAACAGGGCUUUCCAGGCCAGUUUUGCUCAGUGUGGCCGCUGAGGUGCCCAGGCCGCUGUCCUACUUUCCCCUGCCAUGCCUGGGGGAGUUGCCCUGGAGAGGGAGAACUGGAGCAGAGCUCUGGCUUUUGUUCUGUUAUAGCUCUUUUCCCCAGGAUGUCUUGGGCCACAGCCCUUUAUCUGGAUACUCAGAUCCUUACAGGCCCUGGACUGCAGAGCAGAGUUCUACCUGCAGAGGCUGGAACAAUGCCAGCAGGGUUUAUAUACAAUUCUAAGACCUGAUUAGAAAAACAUGUUUAAAAAAUGGAAGGAGAAGAAGCUACGCAUGCAAAAAAUGUGGGCUUCUCCUUGUGGGCCGCCUCUGCCUUUGGGUUCUAGGACUGUGCAGACCCAGACUGCCAGCCGGAGAUGAAAGGGGAUCUUUCAACAUUUCCACCUGUGGUCUGCACUUUCUCCCUGCUUGGUUACCAUUGGGCCUGCUAUGGAAUUUCACUCAUGCGGGGAUUCCCCUACCCCAAAAACAACUCAAACAGAAGAGCUGGCAUAGUCAGGCAGGAAAGGCUUGCAGCUACCUUCUUUUAUGUGACUUGGAAUGGUUCCUGCUUCUGACUGAGUAAGUUUGAGCUCCAGAAAGGAGAACACAUGAGCACACAGCGAAGCGAAGCUGGCCUCGGUGGGUAUGGGGGCUUGGACUCUACUGUUGGGGCCUUGGGAAGUCCACUGUGCCAUGGGAACCAGAAGAUCUGAGCUGAAUUUCUGAUUACUGUAGGACUAUUUGUAUGACUUUGAACAAAGUACUUCAUUUCUGUAACUGUCACCAAGCUCAUCAAAGCAAAUAGGAAUUCUGCCUAUAUUUUGUAUUUCUGUGAAAAUUUAAAAAGAUGAAGAGAUAAGAACAUGUGUCUUUUUCCUUCUUUCUCUCUCCUGGCACAUCCCUCUCACCUGUAUGGUCUGCAACAGGAAGGAAGCUUUGAGAUGGCUGUGUGAAAGACACAGGAAGACCCUAAAUCGGAAACUUUGAGUACUAGCAGCUCAACCUAACCGAUGAGGACUUGUGUGUUUGUUUGUAGGUAUAUUUUGAAGUAGUGAUUUUUAGAAGAAAAGACAACUUCAUGAGGGGAGGUAUGAAAGUUUUCCAUAUCCCUCCCAGCAUUAAGCAGAGUGAUAAGUAAGAUGAGUCUAUUGCUUUAUAAACUACCUGUUUUAUCCCAGGCGCUGUGUGAAUACGAUAUUGUAUAACGAACAACUGUUAUCCAAAUUUCCACAUAAGGAAUUAAGGCCUCAAGCUGUCCAGGAGUGGAGUGAAGAUUUUAAUCGUGCCAGUGAUUUUCAAACGCCCUUGUGCUCAUUGAUGCUUAUGGCACCCGUGCUCAUGGGUGUGUUCAUGAUUCUAAAUGGGGGGACCCCAAAUGGAAGAAGGUGGUCUUGACAUGCUGUCUGUUUGAACUUCAGGAAUGAUUUCUAAACCUGUAAAUGAAAAUACUAAUAGUUACCUGAAACUUUGGUAUGCUUACAUGAGACAUGUCCAGAAAGCACCUCAGAGUGUGCUUGCCCCGGGGGAUGGGAGGUUUCUCUUGUGACAGACUGAGAAUGCUGGACGGGUGGUUUGUGGGGAGCAGCUAAAGAGUUAGAGGGAGACCUAGAGAAAGUAGUGGAGGAUCAUGUGGAGCCUCCUCCAGGGGCUGCCACUGUCCCGAAGGCCUGAGGGUGAUCUGGGGACAGUCAUGGAACCAGCAGAAUGGGGUCAUGAAAGCAGAUAUGGCCUUCAGUAGAAGAGGGCAGUAGACCCAGAACUGCCUUCCAGAGGAGCUGCGGAGGGCCUUGUUCCCAGUUUCUGAUCCACUGGUGGUUGUACCAGCCAGACUUGGUAGGGAUCUGCAGCAGGAAGUCCAGUGGUGUCCUCCGCAUUGUCAGUGUCCUAGGGCAAAUAGUCAAUGCAGGAAGUGGGUCCAGGUGGGAAAACAGAAUGUCUAGUAGAGUGUUUCCUAAACACAGAACCCAGGUUCCACUCUGAAAUUGCUUACAGCCCAUUGGAAAGAUCCCACUUUCACUCAGGCUCACCCUAUAAAGUGGGGUGCUGCUAAUCUUUGAUAAAGCGGCCAAUCAAACUCACUG